rnacentral:miRNA from 1 species
GAAAACCUGAAUGAACUUUUUGA